UGUGCAGUGUGCAACGUUUGCU
rnacentral:miRNA from 1 species